AUUGAACGCUGGCGGCAGGCCUAACACAUGCAAGUCGAGCGGAUGAAGGGAGCUUGCUCCUGGCUUCAGCGGCGGACGGGUGAGUAAUGCCUAGGAAUCUGCCUGGUAGUGGGGGAUAACGUCCGGAAACGGGCGCUAAUACCGCAUACGUCCUGAGGGAGAAAGUGGGGGAUCUUCGGACCUCACGCUAUCAGAUGAGCCUAGGUCGGAUUAGCUAGUUGGUGGGGUAAAGGCCUACCAAGGCGACGAUCCGUAACUGGUCUGAGAGGAUGAUCAGUCACACUGGAACUGAGACACGGUCCAGACUCCUACGGGAGGCAGCAGUGGGGAAUAUUGGACAAUGGGCGAAAGCCUGAUCCAGCCAUGCCGCGUGUGUGAAGAAGGUCUUCGGAUUGUAAAGCACUUUAAGUUGGGAGGAAGGGAAGUAAGUUAAUACCUUGCUGUUUUGACGUUACCAACAGAAUAAGCACCGGCUAACUUCGUG
rnacentral:rRNA from 1 species